UUCAGUUCGUGGAAUUUAAUAAUUAACACGUUUUUUACUUUUUUUUUUAAGUUUAAUUUGUUGAAAUAAGAGCGUCCGAAGCCUGCAACUUAAGAGAAUUGGUUUUGGUGGUGGCCGGCUGGCUAAUGUUCAAUAAUUGAUGGCGCCUUCGAAGUUCACGAUGUUGUUACUGCUUCUUUCCCUAGUUUUUACGGUGAUCAGGGCUGAUGUUUCCGUCGAAGGCGAGGUUACUGUAUCCGACGGCCUCGAUUCCUCCGCUGUCAAGAUUGAAUUGGACCAACUCAAGUCGAAGAUCCAUUUCCUUGAAUCCCUUGUUGAUGAAAAAACCCAAGAGUUGAAAGCCAAGGAUGAAACGAUGUCGCUGAAGGAGAAACUCAUUCAGGAGAAAUCAGAUAACAUUGUGUCCUUAGAGAAAGAAUUGACUUUGCUUCAGAAAAAAAGGACAUUGGAUGCUGCAGAGAAGGUGGGAAAGGCUCAUGCACGGGCUGGUGAACUUGAGAAGAAGGUUGAUAAGCUCAAGGAGGGGUCAAAGAGACAACAAAAGGAGAAAGAAGCCUUGGAAGCCCGGGCGAAUGAGACUGAGAAGAAGAUAAGCGAAUUGAGAACUAAAUUGGCUGAACUUCAAAAGAUAAACGAUGAACAAAAGAGAAAAAUUCGUAAAACUGAGCGUGCUCUUAAAGUUGCUGAGGAAGAAAUGAUGAAGGCAAAGUCUGAGGUUACUUCAAAAGCUAAAGAGCUGACUGAGGUUCAUGGUGCAUGGCUUCCACCGUGGCUUGCUUUACAUUUAUUUCAUUGUCAGUCCUUAAUUGCAACUCAUUGGAAUGAUUAUGGAAAACCUGCCAUGGAUGUUGCAAUUCAAAAGGCCCUUGAAAAGAAGGCCCAAGCUGAUAAGUGGGCUGAACCACAUUUGGAAACGGUUAAGACUAAAUGGUUGCCAGCUUUAAAGGAACAGUGGCUGGUUUUUACAACAAAUGUUGAACCACAUGUGCAAUCAUUGAAGACAAAAACAAUUGAAGCUUAUGAGGCCUCAAAAACUGCGAUAACCCCACAUGUUAUCAGAGUUAAAGAGAUUGUUGAUCCUUAUUUUCAGGAAACUAAGAAGUUCAGCAAGCCCUAUAUUGAUCAGGUUGCCACUGUGGCCAAGCCUCAUGUUGACAGCAUACAACUAGUGCUGAAACCCUACACCAAGAAAAUUGUUCAUGCUUAUGGGAAGUUUCUAAAGUCUGCAACCACAUACCAUCAUCAGGUCCAAGCCUCUGUGAAAGAAACACUGAACAAACAUGAGCUGACAAGACUUCUUUCAACUAAAGAGUUUGUAUGGUUUGCGGCAUCUGCACUGCUGGCCUUACCUAUCAUCAUUUUGUCUAGAAUCUUUUCAGCUUUUUUCUGCAAAAAAGCAAGGAAACCAGCUCGACAUGCUAAUGCUCAUCACUCUCGUCGUAAGGGUAAACGCAGUCAUCCAGACAAGUAGAGUGCCACAAGGUUGUUGACUGGUUUAUUCUCUUGUAGGAAAUAUCUUUAGAUGCAUUUUGGCGCAUUUCAUAUGGUCUUCCUGGGGCUAUGAAGUUUCAUCCUCUCUAACUCGUUCAGAUGUUUUUUGAAGCUCCAGCGUGUUUUAUCUAUUUGGAUCUUUGUGGAAAAAAAAGUUAAUAGACCUUUCACACUUCACAAUUAGUCAAGCUGAUAGUCUUAGAAUUUACUGUAUGAUGGGCAGAGUCUGUUAUUUAUGUUGUAAGAGGUGUAACCUAAUUUUUUUAGUUCUCUGGUUGACAGUCCAAAUGUUGCCCAAGCCUCGAUUUCUGUUUAUUGAAUUUAUCUGUCCGCCAUAGAUUUACGAAAAGAAUGGAUUUAUGCAGUGGCUUCUUAUGUUUGCGA